UACGUAGGGGGCAAGCGUUGUCCGGAAUCACUGGGCGUAAAGGGCGUGUAGGCGGUCUGUUAAGUCUGGUGUGAAAUCCCCCCGCUCAACGGGGGAACGGCGCCGGAUACUGGCAGACUUGAGUACCGGAGAGGAAGGUGGAAUUCCCGGUGUAGCGGUGAAAUGCGUAGAUAUCUGGAGGAACACCGGUGGCGAAGGCGGCAUCCUGGACCAAUACUGACACUGAGGAGCGAAAGCCAGGGGAGCAAACGGG
rnacentral:rRNA from 1 species